GUCUCCAUCGUCUAGUGGUUAGGACAACGGGUUUUCAUCCCGUCAACGGGGGUUCAAUUCCCCCUGGAGAUG
rnacentral:tRNA from 1 species